AUACGUAGGUGGCAAGCGUUGUCCGGAAUUACUGGGUGUAAAGGGAGCGCAGGCGGGCGUGCAAGUCAGCUGUGAAAUCCAUGGGCUUAACCCGUGGGCUGCAGUUGAAACUGUAUGUCUUGAGUGAAGUAGAGGUAGGCGGAAUUCCGAGUGUAGCGGUAAAAUGCGUAGAUAUUCGGAGGAACACCGGUGGCGAAGGCGGCCUACUGGGCUUUAACUGACGCUGAGGCUCGAAAGUGUGGGGAGCAAACAGGAUUAGAUACCCUGGUAGUCCACACUGUAAACGAUGAAUGCUAGGCGUAAGAGGUAUCGACCCCUUUUGUGCCGGAGUCAACACAAUAAGCAUUCCGCCUGGGGAGUACGGCCGCAAGGUUGAAACUCAAAUGAAUUGACGGGG
rnacentral:rRNA from 1 species